rnacentral:rRNA from 1 species
ACGUCAAAUCAUCACGGCCCUUACGUCCUGGGCCACACACGUGCUACAAUGGUAGGUACAAAGGGCAGCUACUUGGCGACAAGAUGCUAAUCUCUAAAACCUAUCUCAGUUCGGAUUGGAGUCUGAAACUCGACUCUAUGAAGCUGGAAUCGCUAGUAAUCGUGGAUCAGAACGCUACGGUGAAUACGUUCCCGGGUCUU